rnacentral:rRNA from 1 species
UACAGAGGUCCCGAGCGUUGUUCGGAUUCACUGGGCGUAAAGGGCUCGUAGGCGGUCCGUCACGUCGGGAGUGAAAACUCGGGCUCAACCCCGAGCCUGCUUCCGAUACGGGCGGACUAGAGGUAGGUAGGGGAGAACGGAAUUCCUGGUGUAGCGGUGAAAUGCGCAGAUAUCAGGAGGAACACCAAUUGCGAAGGCAGCUCGCUGGGACGUCACUGACGCUGAGACGCGAAAGCGUGGGGAGCAAACAGG